rnacentral:rRNA from 1 species
GCGCAGCAGUCGAGAAUUUUUCUCAAUGGGGGAAACCCUGAAGGAGCGACGCCGCGUGGAGGAUGAAGGUCUUCGGAUUGUAAACUCCUGUCAUUAGGGAACAAAUCUUCCAAGUAACUACUGGAAGUCUGAUAGUACCUGAAGAGGAAGAGACGGCUAACUCUGUGCCAGCAGCCGCGGUAAUACAGAGGUCUCAACCGUUGUUCGGAUUCAUUGGGCGUAAAGGGUGCGUAGGCGGCGGAGUAAGUCAGGUGUGAAAUCUCGGGGCUCAACCCCGAAACUGCACUUGAUACUGCUUCGCUUGAGUAUUGGAGAGGAGAUUGGAAUUUACGGUGUAGCAGUGAGAUGCGUAGAUAUCGUAAGGAAGACCAGUGGCGAAGGCGAAUCUCUGGACAAUUACUGACGCUGAGGCACGAAGGCCAGGGGAGCAAACGGGAUUAGAUACCCGCGUAGU